rnacentral:rRNA from 1 species
GAUGAACGCUAGCGGCAGGCUUAACACAUGCAAGUCGAGGGGUAGAAGGAGCUUGCUCCUUUGAGACCGGCGCACGGGUGCGUAACGCGUAUGCAAUCUACCUUGUACAGGGGGAUAGCCCAGAGAAAUUUGGAUUAAUACCCCAUAGUGUAAUGAAUAGGCAUCUAUUUAUUACUAAAGUUCCAACGGUACAAGAUGAGCAUGCGUCCCAUUAGCUAGUUGGUGUGGUAACGGCAUACCAAGGCAACGAUGGGUAGGGGUCCUGAGAGGGAGAUCCCCCACACUGGUACUGAGACACGGACCAGACGCCGACGGGAGGCAGCAGUGAGGAAUAUUGGUCAAUGGGCGCAAGCCUGAACCAGCCAUGCCGCGUGCAGGAUGACGGUCCUAUGGAUUGUAAACUGCUUUUGUACAGGAAGAAACACUCCCUCGUGAGGGAACUUGACGGUACUGUAAGAAUAAGGAUCGGCUAACUCCGUGCCAGCAGCCGCCGUAACAC